rnacentral:rRNA from 1 species
UACGGAGGGUGCGAGCGUUGUCCGGAAUCACUGGGCGUAAAGGGCGCGUAGGCGGCUACUUAAGCGUGUGGUGAAAGUCCGGGGCUCAACCCCGGAUCGGCCGUGCGAACUGAGUGGCUCGAGCACUGUAGAGGCAGGUGGAAUUCCGGGUGUAGCGGUGGAAUGCGUAGAGAUCCGGAAGAACACCGGUGGCGAAGGCGGCCUGCUGGGCAGUGGCUGACGCUGAGGCGCGACAGCGUGGGGAGCAAACAGG